AGUGCAACCCCAUCCCUGAUUAUACAGCUCAGGUGCAGCUUGAGGAAACCACCAAUCCUCAACUUCUCCAGAGAGCAAUCAGUGCAAGACCUGUUACACACCUGACUGUGUCUGUGUACAAGGCAACAAAGAAUAUGUCUUCUGACCUGCAAUCUCGGAUGGAUGGUGAUCAGAGUCCAGCAGCGAGCGGAAGCGUAGGGCCACCUCGAUCUGUCCGGGGUGGGGCCGCAGCCUAUGAAUGUCUGCAGGAAGACACCAGAAAAUGAAGGAUGGAACGGAUACAGAAUCUUCAAGUUUGCGAUUUCCUCUGAAAUGUGGCACAUCUAAAAUGUUGAUGUAGCGGUCACUGGAAAAGCAGCAGAGAAAAUAGUUGCAGAGGCCAAAAGGAGGAGAUUGUACCCCGGUACCAGAGAGCACUCAGCCAGGAAUGUGAGGAGACAUACAAAGGACUCGACGUUGAUGCUGCAAUACUCCCGCUCCCCUACCUCUUCAAUGGAAAUCCAGUUGCUCCUGAAGGUAAGAGCACCAGCAGUCCUUCAUAGGUAGGGCUCUUGUAUACCUGCUGUGUUUUGUUUGUUUUAAUGGAACUGUGGAGUGUAUUACUCCUUUGGUGUGGUUUAUUUGGAUAGGUGAGUACAGAAAUACAUUAGUCCCAUCAUGCCUACUGGAAAUUGUGGGACUUUCUUUUGCUUAUCAGUCUUGCAAAUAAUAUAUUUCUAUAAUUUCUUAUUGCAUAUAAUUGGAUGAACAAUAUAACUUACUGCCAAAAACGCUGUUCAUGUGGUAAACAUGA